rnacentral:lncRNA from 1 species
GUAGCUGUGUCGCCGGCGGCUGCGGGGCCUCUGGGUUGCUUUCCCUCUCGCUCCCGAGUGCCGCGAGUUCCAGGCGGUCCCCGGGAUCGCCAGCGGCACAGGGCCCCAGCCCUUCGCCCGCGCAUCGGGAUGGGGGUCCUAGCCGGUGGGAGCUGCCUGUCCCUCGAGCGCCAGCUACCCGCGUUGUCCAGCGCUCCGGCCUCGGCCCGGCCCUCCUGCCUCCUGGCUGUUAGGUUCUGAAUGUUCCGGAAAUGCCACGUGACCGCGAGGGCGCUUGGGCUUGGGCUGGACAGGCCGGGGAUCUCACCGCGGCGGGCCCGGCUGUCCCGCUUGGGCGUCCUCAGUGGAACCGCACACCCUUUCUCAGCGCGCCGGUCGUUUGGUCCUGUAGGGCCGAGGGGAAUUCGUGCGGUGUUGAGCACGCGGGAAGCACUUAACGAAAGGGAGCUGCCCCUCAGCCCUCGUGAGUCCGAUGUAAAGGAGUGAAGGAGACGAAGAACUGAAUCAGUAGUUGACCGCCUGUGAGCUGGCGAGCUGUGCCCUGGUAGGGCCUUAAAUCCCAGCCCCAGAAGUCGGAGGCAGGGCAGGCACCCCAAAGCGUGGAAGAGAUGCACCUGCGGAGUGAAAAUGCUGCUAUUGCUUCUAGGGUCAGCCUUGGUUCCUGGAACAAAGGAGCCGCAUGACUCGGGUCUGGCGAUGAUGUUGGGCUCUGCAGUGUCCUCAUCCUUCCCCCUCUCUGGGACUGUAGCAGUGACCAGGGCAGCUCCAGAUGAAGCUUCUGCUCACAGGAACCUUUUCUACUGAAACAGAUGAUACCUAAACUCUCAGCUGUGUGACUUUAAGCAACUUGCACAACCUCUCUGUACUUCAGUUGCCUCCAUCUUCAAAUGGGGAUUAAAAAGUGUUGACAUCAUAGUGGUUGUGAGGAUUACAUGAUUUGAUAGUUUAUAAAGCACUUAGAACUUGUGAAGAAGAGUGCCUGGGGAUUGCCUAAGGUCAGGAGUUCAAGACCAGCCUGGCCAACAUGGAGAAACCUCAUCUCUGCUAAAAAUACAAAAACUAACCACGCAUGGUAGUGCACACCUCUAGUCCCAGCUACUUGGGGGGCUGAGGCAGGAGAAUCACUUGAACCUGGGAGGUGGAGAUUGCAGUGAGCCAAGAUUGCGCCACUGCACUCCAGCCUGGGCAACAGAGCAAGACUCGGUCUCCAAAGAAAAAAAAAGAACUGCCUGGCUACGGAAUAAGAACUACAUGGAGUUAUUAAAUCAAAAUCGGUGCACAAAUGAUAAUUCUUAAGAGUGAGUGCUACAGAGAACACAAAAGGCAAGGCACAGAGAGAUGACCUGGGAGGCAGGGAAGGAAAGCAUUCCCAGAGUUCUGGAGGCUGCAAGCCCAGGUUCAAGGCAUCAGCAGGUGUGGUUUCCUCCGAGGCCUCUCCCCGUGGCUUGCAGAUGGCUGCCUUCUUCCUGCAUCCUCACGUGGUCCCUCCUCUGCACUCCAGCAUCCUUAAUGUCUCUUUGUGUGUCCAACUUUCCGCCCCCCCCCACCCCUUUUUUUUCUGAUGGAGUCCACCCAGACUGGAGUACAGUGGCGUGAUCUCAGCUCACUGCAACCUCCACUUCCUGGGCUCAAGUGAUUCCCCCGCUUCAGCCUCCCGAGUAGCUGGGAUUACAGGCAUGUGCCACCAUGCCUGGCUAAUUUUUGUAUUUUUAAUAGAGAUGGGAUUUCACCAUAUUGGCCAGGCUGGUCUCAAACUCCUGACCUCAAGUGAUCCACCCAUCUCGGCCUCCCAAAGUGUUGAGAUUACAGGUGUGAGCCACUGCGCCCAGCCCCGAACUUUCCUCUUAAAAGGAUAUCAGUCAGGCCAGGCGCAGUGGCUCAUACCUGUAAUCCCUGCACUUUGGGAGGUUGAGGCGGGUGGAUUACUUGAGGUCAGGAGUUGGAGACCAGCCUGGCCAACAUGGUGAAAUCCCGUGUCUACUAAAAAUACAAAAAUUAGCCGGGCGUGGUGGCAGGCGCCUGUAGUCCCAGCCACUCGGGAGGCUGAGGCAGGAGAAUUGCUUGAACCUGGGAGGCAGAGGUUGCAGUCAGCUGAGAUCAUGCUACUGCACUCCAGUCUGGGCAACAGAGCAAGACUCUAUCUCAAAAAAAAAAAAGACACCAGUCAGACUGGAGUAGGGCUCACCCUAAUGGCCUGAUUUUAACUUAAUUACCUCUUUUUUUUUCUUUCUUUUUUUGAGACAGAGUCUCGCUCUGUCACCCAGGCUUGAGUGCAGUGGCGCGAUCUCAGCUCACUGCAACCUCUGUCUCCCGGGUUCAAGUGAUUCUCCAGCCUUAGCCUCCCAAGUAGCUGGAAUUACAGGCGUGUACCACCACACCAAGCUAAUUUUUGUAUUUUUUAGUAGAGACAGGGUUUCUUCAUGUUGGUCAGGCUGGUCUCAAACUCCUGACCUCAGGUGAUACACCUGCCUCGGCCUCCCAAAGUGAUGGGAUUAUAGGUGUGAGCCACUGCACCCAGCCUUAAUUACCCCUUUAAAGGCCCUAUAUGCAAAUACAGUCACAUUCUGAGCUACUGGGGGUUAGGGCUUCAACAUAGGAAUUCAGGCAGACAUGAUUCAGCCCAUAACAAGGGCUUUCACUUUUUUUUUUUUUGUAGAAACAGGGUCUCACUAUGUUGCCCAGGCUACUCUUGAACUCCUGGGUUCAAGUGAUUCUCCAGCCUCAGCCCCCAGAUUAGCUGGGGCUACAGGUGCACCAGCACGCCCAGCUAAUAUUUUUACUUUCAUUUUUUUUAGACGGAGUUUAGCUAUCUUUGCCCAGGCUAGAGUGCAAUAGCGUGAUCUUGGCUCACCACAACCUCUGCCUUCCGGGUUCAAGAAUUCUCCUGCCUCAGCCUCCCAAGUAGCUGGGAUUACAGGCAUGCACCACCAUGACCGGCUAAUUUUGUAUUUUUAGUAGAGACGGGGUUUCUCCAUGUUGGUCAGGCUGCUCUCGAACUCCCGACCUCAGAUGGUCUGCCCGCCUCAGCUUCCCAAGGUGCUGGGAUUACAGGCGUGAGCCACCGCGCCCGGCCAAUAUUUUUUGUGGAGUCAGGGUCCUACUAUGUUUCCCAGGCUGGUCUUGAACUUCCAGGCUCAAGCGAUCCUCCUGCCUUGGCCUCCUAAAGUACUGUGAUUCCAGGCCUGAGCCACAGCACCCUGCUGGCUUUCACUUUUUACUUUAUUUCUAUGUUGUUAAAAUCUAUUACAAUAAACAUUACUUUUAAAGGAUUUUGUGCACUUCAAUCCAAAUGUCCCUGAAGCAUCUACCUCCCUCCUGGGCCUUCUCUGAAGUCAGAGUAGGGGCAGCUGAAGCCCUCCCUCUGCUGGCUCCAGGAACGAAACCCCCUGGCCCACUAAGGCCCUUCCCCUGGGGAGGGUGGCGUGGGAUAAGAACACUCAGUAUCUGUCUGGCCCUCUCAAGAUCACUGAGGACUUUCCCAGACAGCCGACAUGGUCUUCAGAUCAGUCUGCCAAACGUCACAUAGAGGCUGGGCACGGUGGCUCACGUCUGUAAUCCCAGCACUUUGGGAGGGCAACGUGGGUGGAUCACCUGAAGUCAGGAGUUCGAGACCAGGCUGGCCGACAUUGCAAAACCUCGUCUCUACAAAAAUAUAAAAGUUAGCUGGGCGUGGUGGCACGCGCCUGUAGUCCCAGCUACUCGGGAGGCUGAGGCAGGAGAAUCACUUGAACCUGGGAGGCGGAGGUUGCAGUGGACCAGGAUCGUACCACUGCACUCCAGCCUGGCCAACAGAGUAAGACUCCAUCUCAAAAAAAAAAAAAAAAUCAGGUGGAGGGGCAUCCUCUGUUUUCCAGGCUCCUGGUUUAUAGCUGCAAGCUCUGGACAUUUAAUACCUUGUAAUCCAUCCUUCCCUUAUAUACCUCUCAACAUAAUGACUGUACAAUAUGGCCAAUGAAACGGAUAGUAAAAUGAAACAUAGGCAAGUAAUAAAGUGAGAUAUGAAGACAGUAGUACAACCUGGAUGAGGGUGGAAUGCAAAAUUGUCAUCAGAGAAGACGACAGGAGGACCUGAGAGCUGGAGGGACGGACGCUUAUCUACCCAAAUGAGGCUAUAAAAAGUAGAAAGAUGGCAGGGUAAAAAUGGGGGAGGGCUGCCACUUAAGACUCUCAGGAAACAGUGAUGCAUCAGACUUUAUCAUUAAGUCCCAGGGGAGAGGAGUGGAUCUGGGGAUCCCUUUAGAUAUGGUAGAAUUCUCCUGGGUCCUGCUCUGGUCUUAAAUCUCAGACCAGUAGCAGGAAAACCCUAACUGUACUGUGGUCCUGAAUGUCACUGCAACUUCAGCCCUGCUGUGGUGGUGUAUCUGCUCCUCUGGCUGGCUCUGCCACCUUGAAAGGUGAGACCAUGUGGAGCAGAGCCAAGGGGCCUCAGCUGACAGCCAGCACCAACCAUCAGUCAUGUGAGUGAGACCACCUUGGACCCCCAACCCCAGUUGGGUUGUCAGAUGACUAUAGCUGCAGGUACAAGAGUGACCCAGUGACACCAGCAGAUGAACCGGCUAGCUUAGCUCAGCCCAAACUGCUGACUUAGAACUGUUGUUAUGUUAAGCCAGUACAUUUUCAGUGACUCAUUACAAAGCAGUAGAUAACUGUGACAGUCUAAGAGGAUCUAAGUUUGGAAACAGGAUUGAAUAUUUAAGAUAACUGAUUUGCCAGAUUUAUAAGUUUAUUAGUAUAUAAGAGUUGCUUGGCUGGGCACAGUGGCUCAUGCCUGUAACCCUAACACCUUGGAAGGCUGAAGCAGGAAGAUUGCUUGAGCCCAGGAGUUUGAGACCAGCCUUGGCAACACAGUGAGACCCAAUCUCUUAAAAAAAAAAAAAAAAAAAAAAACUCCGUCUCCCUCUCGCUCUCCGUCUCCCUCUCGCUCUCCCUCUCCCCACGGUCUCCCUCUCAUGCGGAGCCGAAGCUGGACUGUACUGCUGCCAUCUCGGCUCACUGCAUCCUCCCUGCCUGAUUCUCCUGCCUCAGUCUGCCGAGUGCCUGCGAUUGCAGGCACGCGCCGCCACGCCUGACUGGUUUUGGUGGAGACAGGGUUUCGCUGUGUUGGCCGGGCCGGUCUCCAGCCCCUAACCGCGAGUGAUCCGCCAACCUCGGCCUCCCGAG